UGAAAGGCACAAUCGCUGGUCCGAUACAUGCUGGGGGAUGUCGCGGUCUCCUGUCACCCGAGCGGGGGCUGACACGUGGAAGUUCUUGAUGAUUUCGUCGGUCCAGAUAUCACCUGCGUCGAUGGCAUGUCCGCUCUGAGCCUACAGUCGACAACGGCCCAUCCCUGACGGGAGGUGGUCGUGGUUGAUGAUUAAUCCGGAAACGCGUGAGGCAGUAACCUGAGCAGCGAAAACGGGUAGCUGCGGGCGGCAGACGGAUUGCAUACUUUAGGUGGCUGGGCCACCCGGCGAGUCCUCUCAGAGGCAACCAACUGUUUUCGUGCUCCUCUGUGUGUGUACUGUCUUGGCCAUCUUCUGUAUGUGUACUGGCUUGCCACUUUUCGGUGUGUAUGAGCCGCACUCUCCUGUAGCGUGCAGCUCUGAAAAGUGUCCAUGCAAACCGCAAAGAUGUCUGUCUACGUAGGCAAAGCCGAGCACAGGCAUGUGUGUGUGUGUGUUACAUGGUUGGGGGUGCGUGACCCCAUACCUGUAAGACUACCCAUACGACUCGUAUGAUACGGGCCGAAGGCCCAAGGGCAAUACUACAACGCCUAAGAGCCACGGAGAAAAAGGAAAAAAAAACACCGCACAUCAGCCCAGACUAGCGUCCAAAGGGGGUAAUUGAGUUUCGGUGAGCCCACAUACGUUCCAACAUCCUCGCCAGACGUGUGGGUUCCCAUUGCAUGGCCUCCAACAUACUCUGUUGAUGAUCGAAUCCCUCUUCAGCACGAAUAUCAUUAUAGGCUGGGCAUUCCAAUAACACGUGUUUUUCAUCCUCAAGUCGGCUAUUAGUACCACAACAGUGGCAAAACCGCUGCCCCCUGGGGACAUGGUGCUUGCCCCUUCGUGCUCUGUUUGCCUCCAAAGCCCAGCAACAUAAACGAAACUGCAUUAGCUUACGAUGUGCUAAACGAGGAAUGAAAACCUUAGCAUGUAUUGGCCACAUGACGGCUGCGGCUCCCGAAAAGGGCAGCCCCAUCCAGUGCUUAUACUUCGCCAUUUGCACUCCCGGUUGCUUCCCAUCUGAUGGGUACUCCUCUGCAGUGUUUUUUUUAAGUAAUAUAUUACUUUUAAGGAAUAAAGAGGCCUUUUUGGCCUUUGGAAAUAAGGAACAAAGUGAGGCCGAUCCGUACAUUUUCAUUCCUUCAGCCAAAAACGUCCAUUGCUGCCAGAUUGCUCCGUAGUGUGCAGAACUUAGUAUUAUCGAUCAUAAAAUAGAUAUGAGGGGCCGUAAGAAGGUCAAGCCCGUGAGUCAACGCGGCAUAGCAGAAUGUAUGACCGGUCCUUCCAUAGACAAACACGCAAAAGGCAACGACUUGAACGCCGAACAAACACAAAAACAGCAAGAUAAGUCUGAAAUUUUUCCUGAUAAAGGCGUUUGGGACGGCGGUGCUGUUGUAACUUAUCGGGGGGGGGUCUGGGGGGGGCGUANCCCCCCCCAGCGCCCCACUCUUAAGGAAUACAUAACGGCGACGCUAGCAACUUUGUUACUUAGGUUGGAAUAAAUUGAGACCCCCCCUAAAUGAAAAAAAAUCACUGCUCCUCUGGCAAGACAGUCAGACGCGUAUGGUCCCAGCCACUCAUCAAACGCUCUCUUAGUGCCGUUAUUAUCGCUCCUUCUGGUAGAGGUCUACUCAGCAACCAGUCAACACGCUCCUUUACCCCCACGACUUCUUGCGGUAUUCCGCUCCAAAUGUUGCACUCCAAGAAGGAAAACAGUCGUAACAUUGAGAUUCCCCAACCCUCCCAUUCCGGGUUGGUCAGGGCAUCGGUUAUCUCCUGCCGUAAAACUGCAUGAGCAAUGGAUCCCACUUGCUUUUGAAGGCGGUUCCAGAAACGGAGAAUCUGCUUCACCAUGUAAUAUUGUAAGGGGAGUUCAGCCAGCUCCGCGUACAACAGCAUGUGGGAUGGCCGUGCCGUCCCCACUACCUGCCUCAUGAAUAAAAUCUGCAGCUGGACUGCACUAUCCUUCAAACAGGCUUCGAACAUGCCCUCCGCAAGGUUGGCUUUAUCCCGCCGCCUUAGGGUUUUAAAAAACCCUAAACCCUAAAACCCUAAAACCCUAAACCCUAAAACCCUAAAACCCUGUCCACGACCUCUGCCAGCGCAAAAGGGCCCCACGCCUGGCAACCAUACAACAGAAUUGCUCGGACUUGGGUUGCAAAACACCGCAUUCGCACAUCGGGGGCAAACAGCUUCAUUUUGUCCAGCUUUGCGCUUAAGGAAAACAUAGCGGACCGACCUGUAUCACACAACUGCUGACGGCACGCACUAAAAGGCCGUUAUGGCCCAUAUACCAAGCCCAGAUAGCAAGCGCUAUCUUUGGCAGGUACUACCUGGCCUGAUAGCCGUAACUGUUGACAUCUCCCGCUAAGUUCCGACUGCUGGGUGCCGUCACAUGCAAAAACAAGCCUUUCACACUUUGAGACAUUUGGUCGCAUCCCAAAAGCUUCACAAAACAAGUCCACAAGAUGUAGCAACUCAGACAUUCGCUCUAGUGACGUCGCUAGCAGACUAACAUCGUCUGCAUACAACAGUAUGGACACGCGCUUGCUGUCCACAAGGGGUGCGUCAUACUUACGUGCACCAGCUUCUACAAGGUCAUGAGUAUCAAUCAGAUCGGCUAGUGUCUCGAUGAAGAGUCCAAACAACUCCGUAGAUAAAGGACACCCUUGCUUCACUCCUUGCUUAGACUCAAACUCUCCCCCCACUUUCUCAUUUACCUUCAUCACCAUGGACACCUUCUCGUACGCUUUUCUCAGAGCACCUAGCAUGGGGCCGCUAAUCCCCCUCUCCUGCAACCGAAGCCACAUGUGCUCGCGAGGCACCCUAUCAAAGGCCUUCUCAAAGUCAAUCUGUACUAUUAUCACAGGCAUGUGACACAAGGUGCAAGCCUAGGGACUGGCAACAUUCCUGAACGAGCGCAAAUGAGCAAUGGAGGAGAACAUGGGAUGAAGACGAGGACAAUGGUGACGAUGAUGGUGACGAUGAUGGUGACGUGGAUGAUGACAAAUAUAGUAGGAUGAGGAGGAUGCACCACGGGGCAUGAUAACCGUGUCAUCAGCUGCCUGCCCUUCCACCUGCACCUUUAUCUCUCUCCCUCUACCUAGCAUGACGGGGUUGUGUACUGUAUACGGGAAUUUUAUUUAGCCUUAGACAGGCGCCACCAACACCGCACGCGUUGCUGGCAUAUGCAGCGCUAUACCUGUACAGCCGCCGCCUCUGCUCCGCUCCACAACGUUUUAGGGAAUGGAAGGCGGCUACCUGCAUCAUUGUCAAGACAGACAGUGUCCAGGGCCCUCCAUUCGAGAUGCUUGGAAGCACACGCCGUGAGUGUGUGGAUAUGCAGUCUGAUUUCUGAUUUCUGAUUUCUGGUUUCUAAUUUCUGAAUUCCGGUUCUGGAAAGGCCUCUAUUAGAGAUGCAGGGAACACAGUCCCGCGUAUAUGUUAUUGUGUGAAAGCCCACCCCCAGCAUCCAGUUGACUCUGCCCAGUCAACGUUUGUGUCGAGCCUACUCCUGGUCUGCUCGGAGCAGACUUCAAUAAAGAUAAUAGGGUCCAUCCAUGAUUGUACAUAUAUGUAUAUAAUAUGAUCCAUCCGCGUCACAUCUCCGUGGGGUUGCAUCCACUUUCCUAUGGACGGAAUCUGCAACCUUCCAUAUACCCUAUGUCGCGCCUUAGCAAAACCACCGUGCGGCUCAGGAGUGUCCUUCGGUGGUGUAUCUCAUGGAGUCGGAGGGCAUCAAUCCCCCUACCUCCCGCAAUCUACCUGCGGCGCUCAGCUUCAUGGUCGCAUCAUGCUAAGCGGGCGCUCUACCAUUUGAGCUACGACCCCACAUGCUUGUCCUGUGCGCUCGAUGACGGGUUUCAACCGUCGACCUUACGGUUAACAGCCGUACGCUCUACCGACUGAGCUAACCGAGCCGGCCGGAACGGGUUGUGUCGUACUGUACGACACGUACAGCAGUGUUUGGUGCAUAACGUGCCGUACGACAGCUACUAUGCAACCUGCAAUCAGGUUACAAUUAGGUUAUUAUAAAUGUAGGUUGUACAGGUUACUCCAACAUGGAGGUUUGCCAUCAACAAUGCUUCAUCAGCAACUAGCUGCAAACAGGGCUCUAUCGCCUUUGAUUCGUCGGAUCCGCGCGAGCCCACUAGCAGGAUGACGACCUACAGUUGAUCGUGGUGAGACGCCUUUCCUUACCAAUGAUGUGAUGAUCAAUCAAUGGCUGUAUGGGCUGUGGCUACGCACAGGCCUUCCACACAAUGGCGGCCGGCAGUAGUCUGCACGAAACGCGAGCUGCUUUGGGCUGCUUUGGGCGGGACGUGGGACGGAGUUGGUAACUGACAUGGCGUACCAUGGGAGCGUUGUUCUAGAUAGGUAUCGUUCUAGACCAACCUGUGGACACACAGCGUCCAGGCUUGUGCCUUUGAAAGGCACAAUCGCCGGUUCGAUACAUGCUGGGGGAUGUCGCGGUCUUCUGUCAUCCGAGCGGGGGCUGACACGUGGAAGUUCUUGAUGAUUUCGUCGGUCCAGAUAUCACCUGCGUCGAUGGCAUGUCCGCUCUGAGCCUACAGUCGACAACGGCCCAUCCCUGAUGGGAGGUGGUCGUGGUUGAUGAUUAAUCCGGAAACGCGUGAGGCAGUCACCUGAGCAGCGAAAACGGGUAGCUGCGGGCGGCAGACGGAUUGCAU
rnacentral:lncRNA from 1 species